rnacentral:rRNA from 1 species
GACGAACGCUGGCGGCGUGCCUAAUACAUGCAAGUCGAACGCAGUGGGGACGGGUGAGUAACACGUGGGUAACCUCCCAUCAGAGGGGAGAACACUUGGAAACAGGUGCUAAACCGCUACUGAUGGAUGGACCCGCGGUGCAUUAGCUAGUUGGUGAGGUAACGGCCCACCAAGGCCACGAUGCAUAGCCGACCGGAGAGGAUGAUCGUCCACACUGGGACUGAGACACGGCCCAGACUCCUACGGGAGGCAGCAGUAGGGAAUCUUCGACAAUGGACGAAAGUCUGACCGAGCAACGCCGCGUGAGUGAAGAAGGUUUUCGGAUCGUAAAACUCUGUUGUUGGAGAAGCGGUAUCUAACCAGAAAGCCACGGCUAACUACGUGCCAGCCGCCGCGGUAAUUC